rnacentral:rRNA from 1 species
AACGAACGCUGGCGGCAUGCCUAACACAUGCAAGUCGAACGAACCCUUCGGGGUGAGUGGCGCACGGGUGCGUAACGCGUGGGAACCUGCCCUUAGGUUCGGAAUAACAGUUAGAAAUGACUGCUAAUACCGGAUAAUGUCUUCGGACCAAAGAUUUAUCGCCUUUGGAUGGGCCCGCGUUGGAUUAGCUAGUUGGUGGGGUAAAGGCCUACCAAGGCGACGAUCCAUAGCUGGUCUGAGAGGAUGAUCAGCCACACUGGGACUGAGACACGGCCCAGACUCCUACGGGAGGCAGCAGUGGGGAAUAUUGGACAAUGGGCGAAAGCCUGAUCCAGCAAUGCCGCGUGAGUGAUGAAGGCCUUAGGGUUGUAAAGCUCUUUUACUAGGGAUGAUAAUGACAGUACCUAGAGAAUAAGCUCCGGCUAACUCCGUGCCAGCCGCCGCCGUAA